rfam:TPA: Bos taurus chromosome 12, whole genome shotgun sequence.
UGGCUCAGGGGGUAAAGCGUCUGCCUGCAAUGCAGGAGACCUGGGUUCGAUCCCUG